rnacentral:rRNA from 1 species
UACGUAGGUGGCAAGCGUUGUCCGGAUUUACUGGGCGUAAAGAGCGCGCAGGCGGUCGUUCAAGUCGCGUGUGAAAUCCCUCGGCUCAACCGGGGAACUGCGUCUGAUACUGGGUGGCUUGAAUCCGGGAGAGGGAUGCGGAAUUCCAGGUGUAGCGGUGAAAUGCGUAGAUAUCUGGAGGAACACCGGUGGCGAAGGCGGCAUCCUGGACCGGCAUUGACGCUGAGGCGCGAAAGCCAGGGGAGCAAACGGG